UUCUGGUUAGCUUAGCUGGCAGAGCGCUCCACUGGAAAUGGAGAGAUCCCUGGUUCAAUACCAGGACCAGACG
rfam:Ixodes scapularis strain Wikel colony gcontig_1108379039494, whole genome shotgun sequence.